GUGCAUAUCUAUUCGUUAGAUUCCUGAACCCCCGUGGAUCUCACUUCUAGACCUCAUUCAUUAUAUCACAAAACCCAAAACACACAACACACACACACAGCCACCACACACGCUCUCUGCUCCUUCUGCUGCUGCUGCUGAGAAAACCCCACAACACGCAAACGCACCGGGCCGGGCGGGUUUGUCCUCCUUCAGGUGAGCGAGGAAGAGGAAAGAAGAGACAUAUACAGAGACAGGAUAUACGAAUAUAGAGGACAUAGAUAGGAGUGCGACGGAAAAAUCUCGUAGCGUCAUUCAUGUCGGAGACAUCACGGAGGAAGCCGCCGCCGCCGCCGCCGCUUGUGUAACACGCUCACACACGGUGUCCCGGUUCACCUCACGGAGAGAGGACCGGAAAGCUGCAGAGACGAAGGGCGGACAGGGAGCGCUCUGUCUUGGGUUCAUAUUGUCCAUAUUUCCGCCCACGGCGCUGGUGCCGGAGCUCGGUGUUGACGCCGCGGCUGCAGGGAGCGCGGAGAGCGGGGAGUUGGACGCGGUGGAGCAGGUUGCUGGAGACCGUCGGUGCGGGGAGAGAGAAGGACUCGACCGCCUACCUCGUCCACCAAUGGGUUAAAAUCGAUUUGCUCGUCCAGAGCAGCCGUGCAGAGCCUCGGAGGGUCCGCUCACACCUGCCCGCCCCGACCCGCUGGGGCUGUAUGAUGUAGGAGCCACUGGCCCCCUCCCGCCCGCCUCUGUUCUGUCUCUCAGAGUCACCAUCCUUUAAACAAGCCCCCUACACCCAUCAGUGCACCAGUCUCUCCGCACCCCCCCCCACCCAGCGUCCCACCAUGCCGGCAGGGAUGAAACCGCUGGAGAAGUUCCUCAAGAAGCAGACCACGGCGCUGACCCGGGCCGGGGGCUUCGUUGGCGGUGUAGCGGACAAGGCCAGCGGGGGGACCGGGGCGUCCCGACGGAGGGCCAGCCUGUCCCGGGUCGUCCCUUUCUUCAGGGAGACUUCACCAGAGAGCGGCCAGGCCCGGGAGGUGUUCAGCCCCGACAAUGAGGACCCCCCAUCCUGGCCCUCAGCUACAGGCACCGGUCUGGUCACGGUGCCCAGCAGCGCUAAUGGCUCUGGCUCUGGUUCUGGUCCUGGAGGAGGGGGAGAAGUCCGCAGUCCAUCUCUGUCCAGUGACGAACAGAGCUCAGAGGCCAGCCUGAUCACAGAGACCAGCAGCAGCGGGGGAGGAGGGGGAGGAGGAGGGACGCCUCUUCAUUCUGACACGCCGGACAACCUGACCCUCGCUGUGCUGGACAGUGUGGCGGGGAAACGUUAUGGACACUGCGCAGAAACCCUGCUGGAUGACUUCAUGUUGACACAUCCCAUCUUCCUGACGGCCGACAGGCUCCAGCAAGUCCUGCUGCAGCAGUAUCCUUCCCACACACACAUUCUUAUGCAUAAUUACCUUGAUAGAAUGUGCUCAUAGCGCUGUGUUGUGUAUGUGCGUGUGUGCAUGACUGCAUAAUGGAGUUGGCUCGGACUUCCAGAUAUAUCCACAUGUGUGACGGCGGAGUUGUCCUGGGACCAUCUGUCUGCUCAGAGUCACAGCAACACCCUGCUUACUGACAGUUUUAAUUUAUUUAAUUCUGUGUUUAGUCAGCCACAGUAUUAUCUGCCGCGGGAAACACAGUUUGAUUUCUUGUGGCUGCAGGUUUGUGUUUUUUUUUUUUUUUUUUUUUUUUUGUCGAUCGCUGCAGGCCAACGCUGUCUGGCUUCUUGUUUUGCCACACCUUCUCCAGUCUGACAGUGUGUCUUUCAAACACUCUGGUCCAGAGGAAGGAAAGGGAUGGUCCCUCCCAAGUU
rnacentral:lncRNA from 1 species